GUUUUCGGUACGAAAUAUGCGUUAGUUUGUGUGUAGUGAAGUUUAUUCUACGAAUAUUGGCAGAAGAUUGAACAGUAGUCCACUGAACUUUACUCAAUUGUUUCCUUGCUUCGUACUGGUAUAUACCAAUUCCAGCUCCUUGAAACUGAACGUGGAAUCGCAGACAUCGGGAGAUUCGGUCUCGAUGCAAGUGAUUUUCAAACUUUUAAAAUCAUAUUUUGUAACAAACUCUUGAAUUUAAAAAAAAAAUAGAAUCUAAGAGUACCUGUUGAGCACAGCCUUUGUUUAAACACGUUUUAUACAGGGUACUUAAAAAUGCAGGCUACAAAAGUCUUAUUUUUAUGCUUUUAUGAAAACUUGCCAUGAGUUCGUAAAUUUAGAGGCAUUGAAAGAUGCAUACAUUUGACAAUCAUUAGAUUAAGAAAACUCUAUAAUCUUGACAGAAUUCUCUAAAGACACUGCUGAAGAAAAGAAAUGUAAUACACUUUUUCUGAAUUCAUAUUGUGGAUUACAAAACUGCUCUUGUAAAUGUAAAAUUUGACAAUUUAGGAGUUAAACUGAACAAAAGAAAAAGCGUACACGUACAGUGUAAACCUGUGUCAGUUGACCACUUGCAGUGUAGAAUUUUUGUGCGCAAUUUAGACAGUUGGUCAACUAAUAGAGAGCGAUGUACAUGAUAAAGUAAUUCUGUACCUGACAACUUCGACAGGUAGUGUACUUACAAAUGUAGUUAACUUUACUAGUUUUACUGUAUAAUGUUUUUGUAAUGAUGUUAUUAUGUUAAAUGUAUUAUUUUAUUUGCCUAGAAUCUGCAUUUGAGCUAUAUUUCUCGUGAAAGAAUUUUCUUCAAUUUAUUUUGCUUUGUUAGUUCCUGUAAAUAAAACUCAAAUAUGCAUGAAACAUUGGGCACUUAAAAGAAACCAUAUGUGUAAUGUGAAUAUUGUAAAAAGACAUUUUCUUGCAAUUCUGAGCUAAUAACUCACUUUAGAAUACACACAAAUGAAAAACCAUUUUCUUGUGAGUACUGUCUAAAAGCCAGUUUUUGGAGGUCAUAUUUGAAAAGUUAUUUGAAGAUGCACACUCAAAAAAACCUACAUUCUUGUGAGCAUUGUAAAAAGACAUUUUCUCAAAUUUCAGACUUGAAAACUCAUUUGAGGAUACACACUAAUGAGAAACCAUGUUCUUGUGCGUAUUGUAAAAAGACAUUUUCUCAAAAUUCACAUUUGAGGACACACGCUAAUGAGAAACCAUAUUCUUGUGAGUAUUGUAAAAAGGCAUUUUCUUACAAUUCGGAACUAAUAACUCACUUGAGAAUACACACAAAUGAGAAACCAUUUUCUUGUGAGUUCUGUGUAAAAGCAUUUUCUCAGCUUAUACAUUUGAAAACACAUUUGAGGACACACACUAAUGAGAAACCAUAUUCUUGUGAGUAUUGUGAAAAGACAUUUUCUCAAAGUACAAAUUUGAAAACACAUUUGAGGAGACACACUAAUGAGAAACCAUAUUCUUGUGAGUAUUGUAAAAAGACAUUUUCUCAAAGUACAAAUUUGAAAACACAUUUGAGGACACACGCUAAUGAAAAACCAUAUUGUUGUGAGUAUUGUAAAAAGACAUUUUCUUCCAAUUCUGAACUAAUAACUCACUUGAGAAUACACACAAAUGAAAAACAAUUUUCUUGUGAGUACUGUCUAAAAGCCUUUUCUCAGUUUAUAGAUUUGAAAGAACAUUUGAGGACACACACUAAUGAGAAACCAUAUUCUUGUGAGUAUUGUAAAAAGACAUUUUCUUCCAAUUCUGAACUAAUAACUCACUUGAGAAUACACACAAAUGAAAAACAAUUUUCUUGUGAGUACUGUCUAAAAGCCUUUUCUCAGUUUAUACAUUUGAAAACACAUUUGAGGAUACACACUAAUGAAAAACCAUACUCUUGCGAUGUUUGUAAAAAGAGAUUUUCCCAGAGUUCAAAUUUGAAGCGACAUUUGAGGAUACACACAAGGGAAAAGCCCUACUCUUGUGACGUUUGUAAAAAAGCGUUUUUUGAUAUAUGGGCUUUGAAAAGCCACUUGAAGGUACACACUGAAGAGAAACGAUACAGUUGUGAAUAUUGCAAAAUGAAAUUUAUUUGGAGCUCAGCUUUGAAAACACAUUUGAGAAAACACACUAAUGAAAAGCUGUAUUCUUGCGAUUGUUGUAAAAAGAGAUUUUCCCAGAGUUGGAAUUUGAAAACACAUUUGAGGACACACACUUAUGAAAACCCUCAUUCUUUUGAGUAAUGUAAAAGGUCAUUUUCUGAUUUUUCAAAUUUUAAAACCAUUUUCACACCAAUGAAAAACUAUGCACUUGAUAUAUUUGUGAAGGGUCAUAUUUUCAGUAUGCAAAUAUGAAAAGACAUUUAAAGGUACAUGCGAAAGUAAAACCGCAUUUUCCCACAGUAAUAGUUUGUACAUACAUCUGAAAACGGGCACCAAAGCAAAACCAUAAUCUGGUGUAAAGUCCUUUAGUGCUCCUUCAUCUUUGAAAGUACAUGUGAGACAACAGAAAAUUCUCGUGAGUAUUGUAAAAAUAAAAAAUAAACUAUUCUUAAAAAUCAUCUUUGAAGUAGUGUUUGAAAAUACACGGUGUUGAGAAUCCACCGUAUUCCUAUUUUUUGUGAAAUGACAUUUUUUCUUGAAUUAACAUCGACUAUGACACAUUUAGGGAUAUGUAGGAGAAUAUGGAGCAUAGUGAAAUUGAGCGUGAAAUCAACUCUGCUUUUAGUGCCACCUAUAUGGUAAUUUUUUAACUAUGUAAGUUGCUCGUGUGAUCUAUCCAAUCAGAAUAACAAUUACUGCUGAAGAUUCUGAGUUUUAUUAGUUUUUUUUAGCCAUGUGUUUUUUUAGCUGCUUAAUUGCUUAAAAUUUAUAGAGAUAAAUCAUGUAUCCUUUAAGCAAUCUGUAGUGUAUAUAAUUCUGAAUUCUACAAAAUAUUUCAAUGACGGAAAAAAAAAGGACUUUGCUUACUUUUUUGCAUCUAAGAGACGAUGCAAUCAGAAAAAAAAGUAUGAAAUUUUGAAAACAGAAAAUAUUAAGGUAACUUUGUACUGUAAAAAAACUUUAAUGUAAAAUUUUCACCUUUUAAAGAAUUUGUUAAAUCUUAAUAUAAUAUAAGAUUGAUGUAUGAAUGGUAGAAGAAUAAAUAAACAUUAUUUUUUGAUAUUA